GUGGGGAAUUUUGGACAAUGGGCGCAAGCCUGAUCCAGCAAUGCCGCGUGCAGGAAGAAGGCCUUCGGGUUGUAAACUGCUUUUGUCAGGGAAGAAAUCUUCUGGGCUAAUACCCCGGGAGGAUGACGGUACCUGAAGAAUAAGCACCGGCUAACUACGUGCCAGCAGCCUCGGUAAUACGUAGGGUGCGAGCGUUAAUCGGAAUUACUGGGCGUAAAGCGUGCGCAGGCGGUUUUGUAAGAUCGAUGUGAAAUCCCCGGGCUCAACCUGGGAACUGCAUUGGUGACUGCAAGGCUGGAGUGCGGCAGAGGGGGAUGGAAUUCCGCGUGUAGCAGUGAAAUGCGUAGAUAUGCGGAGGAACACCGAUGGCGAAGGCAAUCCCCUGGGCCUGCACUGACGCUCAUGCACGAAAGCGUGGGGAGCAAACAGGAUUAGAUACCCCUGUAGUCC
rnacentral:rRNA from 1 species